rnacentral:rRNA from 1 species
UACGAAGGGUGCAAGCGUUACUCGGAAUCACUGGGCGUAAAGCGUGCGUAGGCGGUUCGUUAAGUCUGCUGUGAAAGCCCUGGGCUCAACCUGGGACUGCAGUGGAUACUGGCGGACUAGAGUGUGAUAGAGGAUGGUGGAAUUCCCGGUGUAGCGGUGAAAUGCGUAGAGAUCGUAAGGAAGACCAGUGGCGAAGGCGGGUCUCUGGACAGUUCCUGACACUGAGGCACGAAGGCCAGGGGAGCAAACGGG